rnacentral:rRNA from 1 species
CCUACGGGAGGCAGCAGUGAGGAAUAUUGGUCAAUGGCCGUAAGGCUGAACCAGCCAAGUAGCGUGAGGGAAGACUGCCCUAUGGGUUGUAAACCUCUUUUAUGCGGGGAUAAAGGUGUCCACGUGUGGGUGUUUGCAGGUACCGCAUGAAUAAGGACCGGCUAAUUCCGUGCCAGCAGCCGCGGUAAUACGGAAGGUCCGGGCGUUAUCCGGAUUUAUUGGGGUUAAAGGGAGCGUAGGCCGGUCUUUAAGCGUGCCGUGAAAUGUUGGGGCUCAACCCAGGGCGUGCGGCGCGAACUGGAGACCUUGAGUGCGCGGAAGGCAGGCGGAAUUCAUGGUGUAGCGGUGAAAUGCUUAGAUAUCACGAAGAACCCCGAUUGCGAAGGCAGCUUGCCGCAGCGUAACUGACGCUGAAGCUCGAAAGCGCGGGUAUCGAACAGGAUUAGAUACCCCUGUAGUC